rnacentral:lncRNA from 1 species
AAACUUGAAGUGUUUACGGUCUAGGGUAGAUGUCCAACAGGGAGCAGGGACUAUCAAUCUGGAACUCAGAGACGAAACCAUGGAGUGACAGGUGCAGGUUAAGAGCCUGUUAGGUCCAAAAUGGUGCCCCAGAAAUUCAAGUUAAGUCAAGCCCAUGUUGGAAGACCACCAGCUCCUGCUCGGUGAUUAACUUUGAGGAACCUCGGACAAUAUCCUUCUCAGAGUUAAAGUCCAUGAUUGAAAAGUGGCGUAAAAUUUUAUCUGGCUCUGUGCCGGGCCCUGCCAAGCUCUUCUCAAACUCGAUCAGCUGUUGUGUCAGCUUCGAGUCCAGGUGUUCUCCAAACAAUCCAAAGAAGUUUCCGGGAUCCUGGCAAGGCUGCCUUCCUGGGGCAGAGCCAUGGUUUCCUCCACCCGUGUGUCAGGACAUAAUUUCACAAACCGGGGUAUCUACUUCACCAUUAACAAUGCAGUCAUCUUGAUUUCCAGAACUUACUGACUCAUCCACAGUCCUCAGGGGCCCCAACAGCUCUACAAAACCUUCUGGAAAAAUGCCUCUUCGGCCCUCUAACUCCCCUUCAAACCAGCCUGGUUCAGGAACUCCAAUAAUGGUGAUCACAUCCCCUUCCCUGAAGUCCAGCUCUUCAUCCAGCUGAGCAGAAAGCCCCAUUAGGGCCCGGGCUUGUCCCAUGGAAUAUUCCGGAAUCUGAAACAGGGCGCUCUGGGAGUGCCACUGCCGGCUCUGUGAGGAGAGGCAGAGCUCGCGGACACAUGAAGAUGGGAAGAAGCCCCGUGCGCCCCAGCAGCUUCGGCCCUGCAGCCAGCCUGCAGUGGGAAUGCCAUCGAGAAUCACCAGGUCACCUAAAGAAAAGAGGAGCAGAGAUGGUGACCUCAGUCAUCACCCAGCAGAACAUUAUCACGACUAAUAGUGCAACCUCUCAUUUUAAACAGCUACCAAAUUCAAGGAAAUACACCUAGAGCUUUAGGAGCAUGAACAAUUUUGACAAUUUAUUGAAUUGGAGCAGUUCUAUAAACCUGUAGUUUUCAGAGUGUUCCAUGGAACCCUACAGGUGGGUCUCCAAGAUCCUAGCAGAGAAUCUGUGAGGUCAAAACCAUUCUCAUAAUAACACUAAGACUUUAUCUACAUAUUUUACUCUGCUGACUUUUGUAAUCUCUGUGAAAAAGCAAUGGUGAUUAAAACUGCUGGCCAGCUAGGUGCUGUGGCUUACACCAGAAAUCCGAGCACUUUGGGAGGCCAAGGCAGGAGGAUCGCUUGAGACCAGGAGUUCAAAACCAGCCUGGGCAACAUGUCAAGACCUUGUCUCUACAAUAAAUUUAAAAAUUAGCUGUGCACUGUGGCUCAUGCCUGUAGUCCCAGCUAUUCAGGAGGCUGAGGUGGGAGGAUAGCUUGAACCCAGGAGGUCAAGGCUGCAGUAAGCUGUGAUUUCACCACUACGCUCCAGUCUGGGUGACAGAGCAACACUUGUCUCAAAAAUAAAAAUAAAAUGGCUGGGCGCGAUGGCUCAUGCCUGUGAUCCCAGCACUUUGGGAGGCCAAGGCAGGCGGAUCACUUGAGGUCAGGAGUUCGAGAGCAGCCUGGUCAACAUGGUGAAACACCAUCUCUACUAAAAAUACAAAAAUUAGCUGAGCAUGGUGGCACGUGCCUGUAGUCCCAGCUAUUCAGGAGGCUGAGGCAGAAAUUAAACUCAGGAGGCAGAGGUCGCAGUGAGCCGAGAUCGCACCACUGCACUCCAGCUUGGGCAACAGAGCAAGACUCCAUCUCAAAAAAAUAAUAAAUUAAUUAAAAACUGCUGGCAAUUCAUAAGCAAAGGCAGUAGCCACAAAUUACAUGAAUAGUCACUGUAUGGUCAUCGUAUUCUUCACAACCAUGUACUCACAGUUUUUAAAAAAGCCAUUUUCAGUUAAGAAGCAAUACAAAUUAUGCACUGUGCUAAAUCUCAACCCUUAAGAACAAUUCUUUUGUAAUAUUCUGUGUGACAAUAUAGGAAUUACACAUAAAGCACUUUUACUGCUGAGGAGAAGCACGAGUAACUGAGUUAUAUGCCUGAACCGUCUGUUUAUUUUCACAUAACACCAUUUUAUGUGCAAGAAUGAAUAACAGACAACUAUGUUUAUUCAGACUUAGAUAUCUGGCAGAUGUUUCCUCCAAAAUGAAAGUGAGUCUGAAACAUCAAGGAGAACAAAUGACAGUAUUUGUUGCCAAUGAUAAAAUUCCAACUUCCAAGAGAAAAUGAGAAUUUUGGAAAACUUGUAUCUACUACCAUGGGCUUGGCAGCUUUCCCAU